rnacentral:rRNA from 1 species
UACGGAGGAUCCGAGCGUUAUCCGGAUUUAUUGGGUUUAAAGGGUGCGCAGGCGGGGGAUUAAGUCGGCGGUGAAAUUUUGCAGCUCAACUGUAAAAGUGCCUUCGAAACUGGUUUCCUUGAGUGUAGAUGAAGUAGGCGGAAUUUGUGGUGUAGCGGUGAAAUGCAUAGAUAUCACGAGGAACUCCGAUUGCGAAGGCAGCUUACUAAGCUACUGCUGACGCUCAGGCACGAAGGCGUGGGGAUCAAACAGGAUUAGAUACUCCCGUAGU